CUACGGGACGCUGAAGUGAGGAAUAUUGCGCAAUGGAGGAAACUCUGAUGCAGCAACGCCGCGUGGAGGAUGACGCAUUUCGGUGUGUAAACUCCUUUUAUGAGUCAAGAAAAUGACGGUAGCUCAUGAAUAAGCACCGGCUAACUCCGUGCCAGCAGCCGCGGUAAUACGGAGGGUGCAAGCGUUACUCGGGAUCACUGGGCGUAAAGGACGCGUAGGCGGGAUAUCAAGUCAGGUGUGAAAUCCUACAGCUUAACUGUAGAACUGCACUUGAAACUGGUAACCUAGAGUAUGGAGGGGGAGAUGGAAUUAGUGGUGUAGGGGUAAAAUCCGUAGAUAUCACUAGGAAUACCUAAAGCGAAGGCGAUCUCCUGGAACAUAACUGACGCUAAGGCGUGAAAGCGUGGGGAGCAAACAGGAUUAGAUACCCUAGUAGUC
rnacentral:rRNA from 1 species